ensembl:lncRNA
CCCCUGAGGAGGGACCUCCUCUCUCAGGGGCUGGGCACCAUUUGGCACCCGCGUCCAGAUCUCUGGAACCUCCACGUGUGGCUUCUGGAUGGGACGCGGCAGACCUAAGUGAUCUGCCACCGGCGGUGGUAGACACUAUCACUCAGGCUAGAGCCCCCUCUACGAGGCAGGCCUAUGCUCUGAAGUGGAGUCUGUUCACGAAUUGGUGUUCUUCUCACCGAGAAGACCCCCGGAGAUGCUCGGUCAGAGUCGUGCUUUCUUUCCUGCAAGGAAGGUUGGAGCGUAGGCUGUCACCCUCCACCUUGAAAGUGUAUGUGGCUGCCAUUGCAGCCCAUCACGAUGCAGUGGACGGCCGGUCCCUGGGGAGGCAUGACCUGAUCGUUAGGUUCCUGAGGGGUGCCAGAAGGUUAAAUCCUCCUAGGACACCCCUGAUUCCCUCCUGGGACCUCUCUAUUGUUCUGGCUGGACUUCAGGGGGGGUCCCUUUGAGCCGCUGGAUUCAGUCGAGCUUAAGUUCCUGUCUCUCAAGACAGCGCUCCUGGUCGCGCUCACUUCCAUCAAGAGGGUCGGGGACCUCCAAGCAUUUUCGGUAAGUGAAGAGUGCCUUGUGUUCGGGCCUGGAUACGUGCCCAAGGUUCCCACCACUCCCUUCCGAGACCAGGUGGUGAACCUGCAAGCGCUGCCCCUGGAGGAGGCAGAUCCAGCCUUGGCGUUGCUGUGUCCCGUAAGAGCGCUUCGCAUAUACGUGGACCGCACCCAGAGCUUCAGAAGCUCUGAGCAGCUCCUGGUCUGCUUUGGAGGUCAGCAGAAGGGGAAGGCUGUCUCCAAGCAGAGGUUGGCCCACUGGAUAGUGGAUGCCAUCGCCUUGGCGUACCAUUCCCAAGGCGAGCCGUGCCCCCUGGGGGUGAGGGCCCACUCCACACGGAGUGUGGCCUCCUCCUAUGCGCUGGCGCACGGCGCCUCUCUGGCAGACAUCUGUCGAGCUGCGGGCUGGGCGACACCUAACACCUUUGUGAGGUUUUACAACCUUCGUGUAGACCCAGUUUCUUCCCGUGUGUUGGGUAACAGGUAAUUGGCGGGAAGGACUGGCUCGGUGUCACGCUUGCUGCGCCAUUCCCCCUAACACGGGGAUGCGAGCGCCUUUCUUCUCCCAGUAGAGUUCCCCGGUUGGUGUACCCUGGUCGAGCAUCCUCCAGCACCCUCGGCGGUCAGACUUGGCGGAGCAGUCUGGCGCCAGGCCCAGUACUGGUGUUAGCAUGCCCGGAGUUCCGGUCAGCCCCUGUACUGGGCUAGGUGUCCAUAUGGCUUGAUUCCCUACGGGUAAUCCCAUAUGUGUAUUCUUCCACGGUAAGGUUUCCCUCUUGGUAAACCCGUGUCUUCCCUUGACAGACCCGCUCUGUCAGUCUCUUCUGGCAGCUGUUCCAUCCCUACUCCAAGGUAGGACCUGCCUCAGAGACCCAUUCCAUAUGUAGUACUGCCCCCUGGGUCAGUCCAUAUCAGUAUCUCCACAUGUCACCUCCCUACGGGUAGGAUGUGGUCUCCGUAGCGACCUUUUCCCUAAGGCUCGCUUCCCCAUCGUUCUGCCAAGCUGAAAGAACAAAUAGGGAAGAUUUGAAGCAAUCUUUCACUGAAGGUUGAAAUCCCUUCCAAAAACUUUUUGUGGACGGAACAGCAGCAUGGCCUUCUCCAGCAGCGAUGUACUCACCCUUUUGGUCCCCUUCGGUACCAAGGUCAGUGAAUUUGCGCUGGGGCUUUGGGAAGGUCACGACCUUAAGCGUAGCUUUUGUGACACGCUGCGGCUUGUCGACAAUUGCAGCGCCACAGGGUUGUGACGGUGUUCAGGUUGUGGCGUUUUCCAUAGGACCCCAUAUGUCGUUCGACAUAACUCGUAGUGACCGACAGAUAGGGAACGUCUCGGUUACGUACGUAACCCUCGUUCCCUGAUGGAGGGAACGGAGACGUUAUGUCCCCAUGCCACAACCUUGAACCAUUCGCUGUUGCCGGGACACGUUCUCGGCUCCUCAGCGUAAAACCUGAAUGAGUGGAUGCACCUGUCGCCUAUUUAUACCCGUAGGCACGGGGAGUGGCUCAGGUAUGUUAAAUCCACUAGCCAAUUUUCAUUGGCGUUUUCUCUUAAACUCAGAGAUGAUUGGCCUCCCAAGUGAGACCCCAUAUGUCGUUCGACAUAACGUCUCCGUUCCCUCCAUCAGGGAACGAGGGUUACGUACGUAACCGAGACGUUUUGGGAAACGCACCCCUGAUCAAAGAUGACAUAACUUUUUUUUUUUUUUUUUUUUUUUUUUAAUAUUGCAAAAAUUUAAAUGACAAAUAAAUAUAUUUCAAUUUAAUGCUGUUGUUUUUGCACUUUCUAUUUUUUUUUUUCAAAGAAUCCUGAAAAAGAAAAAAAACUUUCUUUGGCAACUAACAAAAAUAAGUUUAAGUUUUUUUUUUUUUUCAAAUUCAAGUUUUUCAUCUCAAAUUUUUACUUUAUUUCAUCAUU